UAAGGUAGCAUAAUCAGUUGCCUUGUAAUUGAAGGAUUGUUUGAACGGUUUGACCAGGGGGGUGUGUCUAGAUGGGGGCCAUCUCUGAAAUUAGGUGGCUGGUGCAGAUCCCAGCGAUUUUUAAUCAGACGGAAAGACCCCGAGAGCUUUGGCAGUUUUGUGCUUACUUGGGGCAAGGGCAAAUGUUUCACAUGCUUUUGGAUCCUUUGGGAAAAAGUUUUAGUUACCUCGGGGAUAACUAGGUAAGAGGCGAGGAGAGGUCUCAUCGAUUCGUCUGUUUGCCAUCUCGAUGUUGACUUAGGGUUAGGAUGGGGGUGCAGGAGCUUCCAUGUCUGGGUCUGUUCGACCGUUGUUCCCUUCAUGAGUUGAGUUAAGACCGGCGUGAGC
rnacentral:rRNA from 1 species